GUCCCUGUAGAGCAAUAAAGAGCGCAUUGGACUCCUAAUCCAAAGGUUGUGGGUUCGAAUCCCACCUGGGAUG